AACGCUAGCUACAGGCUUAACACAUGCAAGUCGAGGGGCAGCAUGGAACUUAGCUUGCUAAGUUUCGAUGGCGACCGGCGCACGGGUGAGUAACACGUAUCCAACCUACCGUUUACUACGGGAUAGCCUUCUGAAAAGGAGAUUAAUACCGUAUGGCAUUCUAAAGUUUCAUGACAUUAGAAUUAAAGGUUUACCGGUAAUCGAUGGGGAUGCGUUCCAUUAGAUAGUAGGCGGGGUAACGGCCCACCUAGUCAGCGAUGGAUAGGGGUUCUGAGAGGAAGGUCCCCCACAUUGGAACUGAGACACGGUCCAAACUCCUACGGGAGGCAGCAGUGAGGAAUAUUGGUCAAUGGACGAGAGUCUGAACCAGCCAAGUAGCGUGAAGGAUGACUGCCCUAUGGGUUGUAAACUUCUUUUAUAAAGGAAUAAAGUGGUCCACGUGUGGAUUUUUGUAUGUACUUUAUGAAUAAGGAUCGGCUAACUCCGUGCCAGCAGCCGCGGUAAUACGGAGGAUCCAAGCGUUAUCCGGAUUUAUUGGGUUUAAAGGGAGCGCAGAUGGAUUUUUAAGUCAGUUGUGAAAGUUCGGGGCUCAACCCCGUAAUUGCAGUUGAUACUGGAUAUCUUGAGUACAGUUGAGGUAGGCGGAAUUCGUGGUGUAGCGGUGAAAUGCUUAGAUAUCACGAAGAACUCCGAUUGCGAAGGCAGCUUACUAAGCUGUAACUGACAUUGAGGCUCGAAAGUGUGGGUAUCAAACAGGAUUAGAUACCCUGGUAGUCCACACGGUAAACUAUGGAUACUCGCUGUAGGCGAUACACAGUCUGCGGCCAAGCGAAAGCAUUAAGUAUCCCACCUGGGGAGUACGCCGGCAACGGUGAAACUCAAAGGAAUUGACGGGGGCCCGCACAAGCGGAGGAACAUGUGGUUUAAUUCGAUGAUACGCGAGGAACCUUACCCGGGCUUAAAUUGCAACUGAAUAGCUGAGAGAUCAGUUAGCUAGCAAUAGCAGUUGUGAAGGUGCUGCAUGGUUGUCGUCAGCUCGUGCCGUGAGGUGUCGGCUUAAGUGC
rnacentral:rRNA from 1 species